rnacentral:rRNA from 1 species
GCCCUUUCCGGUUGAUCCUGCCGGACCUGACUGCUAUCGGAUUGAUACUAAGCCAUGUGAGUCGUUGUAGCAAUACAAGGCGUACGGCUCAGUAACACGUAGUCAAUCUAACCUAUGGACGGGGAUAACCUCGGGAAACUGAGGAUAAAACCCGAUAGAUCAUAAUUCCUGNAACGGUUUAUGGUCCAAACGAUUCGUUGCCGUAGGAUGGGACUGCGGCCUAUCAGCUUGUUGGUGAGGUAAUGGCCCACCAAGGCUAUUACAGGUACGGGCUCUGAGAGGAGAAGCCCGGAGAUGGGUACUGAGACACGGACCCAGGCCCUAUGGGGCGCAGCAGGCGAGAAAACUUUGCAAUGUGCGCAAGCACGACAAGGUUAAUCCGAGUGUUUCCUGCUUAAGGAAUCUUUUGUUAGUUGUAAAACCACUAUCGAAUAAGGGGUGGGCAAGUUCUGGUGUCAGCCGCCGCGGUAAAACCAGCACCUCGAGUGGUCAGGAGGAUUAUUGGGCCUAAAGCAUCCGUGGCCUGUUCUAUAAGUUUCCGGUUAAAUCCAUUAGCUCAACUAAUGGGCCGCCGAAAAUACUGUAGAACUAGGGAGUGGGAGAGGUAGACGGUAUUCGGUAGGAAGGGGUAAAAUCCUUUGAUCUAUUGAGGACCACCUGUGGCGAAGGCGGUCUACCAGAACACG